UCGGGAAUUUUGGGCAAUGGGCGAAAGCCUGACCCAGCAACGCCGCGUGAGGGAUGAAGUAUUUCGGUAUGUAAACCUCGAAAGAAUGGGAAGAAUAAAUGACGGUACCAUUUAUAAGCUCCGGCUAACUACGUGCCAGCAGCCGCGGUAAUACGUAGGGAGCAAGCGUUGUUCGGAUUUACUGGGCGUAAAGGGCGCGUAGGCGGCGCGGUAAGUCACUUGUGAAAUCUCUGAGCUUAACUCAGAACGGCCAAGUGGUACUGCUGUGCUAGAGUGCGGAAGAGGCAACCGGAAUUCUUGGUGUAGCGGUGAAAUGCGUAGAUAUCAAGGGGAACACCUGAGGCGAAGGCGGGUUGCUGGGCGGACACUGACGCUGAUGCGCGAAAGCCAGGGG
rnacentral:rRNA from 1 species